rnacentral:rRNA from 1 species
GACGAACGCUGGCGGCGUGCUUAACACAUGCAAGUCGAGCGGUAAGGCCCUUUCGGGGGUACGACGAGCGGCGAACGGGUGAGUAACACGUGGGUGACCUGCCCUCAGCGUCUGGGAUAAGCCUGGGAAACCGGGUCUAAUACUGGAUAUGACUCCAUGACGCAUGUUGUGGGGUGGAAAGCCUUGUGCGGCUGAGGAUGGGCCCGCGGCCUAUCAGCUUGUUGGUGGGGUGANGGCCUACCAAGGCGACGACGGGUAGCCGGCCUGAGAGGGCGACCGGCCACACUGGGACUGAGACACGGCCCAGACUCCUACGGGAGGCAGCAGUGGGGAAUCUUGCGCAAUGGGCGAAAGCCUGACGCAGCGACGCCGCGUGAGGGAUGAC